GCCAUAGGUCAGCGGUAGAGCAUCUGCUUUUAAAGCAGAAGGUCUCCAGUUCAAUCCUCAGGGAGGACU